AAAAAAAUAUACAAUAUAAAUGAAAUACUACAAAAUGUGUUAGAAUUAUUGUAUUAAUAUAAUAAUUUAUAAAUAUAUUUAUUAAAUUUUUAUUUUUUUUAGUUUGAAGUAUCUUUAUGUAAACUUGGUAUUAUGUUGGUGCUUCUUAGUUUGAAUUGGCAUCAUAGAAAAUUCAUAUCAUGUUGGAGUUUAAAAAAGCAUAUAAUUAAAGAUAAGUAUGUAUUUUUUCUACACUAUAAUUAUUUUUUUAAAACAUUAUAUAUUUGUACAUGAAAAUAUUAUCCUUUAGCUUGAAGUGCCUUUAUGGAAAGUUUGUAUUAUGUUGGUGCUUCAUGUUGAAGCUCAAAAAAGCAUAUAAUUUUAGAUUAGGUAAAUAUUUUUUCUACACAGCAUAGUUAUUAUUUAUUAUAAGAUUAUGCAUUUCUAAGUAGUCAUUAUUUUGAUGAAAUUACAAGAGUUAUUGUAGAAAAUUUUUAUCAUUUAUCUUGGAUUGUCUCUAUGGAAGUUUGGAAUUAUGUUGGUGCUUCAUUUUGAAUCUCAAAAGAGCAUGUUAUUGUAGAUCAGGUAUAUGUUUCUUCUACACAAUAAAUUAAAUGCCCUUUGGUCCUUCAUGUUGAAGCUCAAAAAGGCAUAUAAUUUUAGAUCAAGUAUAUAUUAUUUCUACACAACAUAGUUAUUAUUUAUUAUAAGAUUAUGCAUUUCUAAGUAGUCAUUAUUUUGAUGAAAUUACAGGAGUUAUUAUAGAAAACGUUUAUCCUUGUUUAGCUUGGAUUGUCUCUAUGGAAGUUUGGAAUUAUGUUGGUUCUUCAUUUUGAAUCUCAAAAGAGCAUAUUAUUGUAGAUCAGGACUUACUACAAAAAAGUUUAUCCUUUUGCUUCAAUGACCUUUAUGGAAGAUUGGAAUGAUGUUGAUGCUUUAUGUUAAAGCUAAAAAAAUAAAAUUAUUAUUUGUAUGAUCUUAAAGGAGAUGUUUAACCCUUAGUUUGAAGUGCCUCUAUGAAAACAUGGCAUUACAUCAAUACUUUUUAGCUUGAAGUGGCUCUAUAGAAACUUCAUAUUUUGUUGGAGCUCAAAGGAACAUAUCUUGAUGCUUUGAGAGAUUUUUUGGUUAUUAAUGAAUGUGUGAAAAAUAUUUAUCGUUC